AGAUUUUAUAAUUGUUUCUCUAUUUAAUCCUGUGUGAUCUACAUUUCAAAGAUGUGGUGGUUGUCAACUUUGAGUUGUGGUUCUGCACAUUUCAAAGUUUCUGAUAUACUUAUUUGAGAUUGUUUUAGAUGUUGUCGGUCUUUCAGUACUAUUUGGUACCACAGCUUUGUGGAUGCUUCAUCUGAUAUUUGCUUUCAUACUCAGCUUUCUAUGCUAUUAUGGAAGGCGUGUUUACAGUAUUUCUAGGAGUACCUUUGCAAAAAUUUAAAAGAAAAAUUAUAAUUAGGAGACCUUUGAAUGAAUAGAUUUUAGUGAGUUUCUGAUUUGCUAUUUGAAUUAUCACCAGAGAAACUUCUGCAUGUUAAUAUGCUCUUUUAUGCAGCUAUUCUGCUAUAUGAGUACAUAUCCUA
rnacentral:lncRNA from 1 species